AUUGAACGCUGGCGGCAGGCCUAACACAUGCAAGUCGAGCGGAGCGGCGGACGGGUGCGUAAUGCCUAGGAAUCUGCAUGGUAGUGGGGGAUAACGUCCGGAAACGGGCGCUAAUACCGCAUACUAUCAGAUGAGCCUAGGUCGGAUUAGCUAGUUGGUGGGGUCAAGGCCUACCAGGGCGACGAUCCGUAACUGGUCUGAGAGGAUGAUCCGUCACACUGGAACUGAGACACGGUCCGGACUCCUACGGGAGGCAGCGGGGGGGAAUAUUGGACAAGGGGCGAAAGCCUGAUCCAGCAAUGCCGCGUGUGUGAAGAAGGUCUUCGGAUUGUAAAGCACGUUAAGUUGGGAGGCGUUACCGACAGAAUAAGCACCGGCUAACGUCGUGCCAGCCGCCGCGGUAAUUC
rnacentral:rRNA from 1 species